CAUUGAAAUGUGUGACAAGAAAGGAUAUGUGUUGAUGGCAUUUCUUGACCCAGGAUUCGAGAGCAAAUUUGAAACUCCAUGACUACUUCAUGAAGCUAUGGAUCACCAGGAAGAUGUUCUCAUAAAGAAAAUGUGCCCAGAUCUCAGCGGAAACCUAAAACCAUUCCAGUGACCCUAGAGUUGCACCAGCACCUCAAAUUGCCAAAUAAGGCUGCAGAUCGGUACCUGUCUGCUGCCCGAGGGUUGGGGACUCCUGAUCUAAACCACCAACAUUGAACUCCCAUCUUUUAAAGCCUGGGC